rnacentral:rRNA from 1 species
AAUAUUGCGCAAUGGAGGGAACUCUGACGCAGCGACGCCGCGUGAGCGAUGAAGGUUUUCGGAUCGUAAAGCUCUGUCCUUGGGGAAGAAGGUCUUCGGACUUGACGGUACCUAAGGAGGAAGCCCCGGCUAACUACGUGCCAGCAGCCGCGGUAAUACGUAGGGGGCAAGCGUUGUCCGGAAUUAUUGGGCGUAAAGGGUACGCAGGCGGUCAUGUAAGUCAGAUGUGAAAUCCUAAGGCUUAACCUUAGUAAGCAUUUGAAACUGCGUGGCUUGAGUUAAGGAGAGGAAAGUGGAAUUCCUGGUGUAGCGGUGAAAUGCGUAGAUAUCAGGAGGAAUAUCAGUGGCGAAGGCGACUUUCUGGCCUUAAACUGACGCUGAGGUACGAAAGCGUGGGGAGCAAACA